AGUGAACGCUGGCGGUAGGCCUAACACAUGCAAGUCGAACGGCAGCACAGUAAGAGCUUGCUCUUACGGGUGGCGAGUGGCGGACGGGUGAGGAAUACAUCGGAAUCUACUUUUUCGUGGGGGAUAACGUAGGUAAACUUACUCUCAUACCGCAUACGACCUACGGUUGAAAGCAGGGGAUCUUCGGACCUUGCGCGAUUGAAUUAGCCGAUGUCGGAUUAGCUAGUUGGCGGGGUAAAGGCCCACCAAGGCGACGAUCCGUAGCUGGUCUGAGAGAAUGAUAAGCCACACUGGAAAUGAGACACGGUCCAGACGACUAAGGGAGGCAGCAGUGGGGAAUAUUGGACAAUGGGCGCAAGCCUGAUCCAGCCAGACCGCGUGGGUGAAAAAGGCGUUCGGGUUGUAAAGACCUUUUGUUGGGAAAGAAAAGCAGCAGGUUAAUACCCAGCUGUUCUGACGGUACCCAAAGAAUAAGCACCGGCUAACUUCGUG
rnacentral:rRNA from 1 species